UACGUAGGGGGCAAGCGUUGUCCGGAUUUACUGGGCGUAAAGAGCGCGUAGGCGGACGCUUAAGUGUGGCCUGAAAGCCCCCGGCUCAACCGGGGAAGGUGGCUGCAAACUGGGCGUCUUGAGGGCGAUAGAGGAGAGUGGAAUUCCUGGUGUAGCGGUGAAAUGCGUAGAUAUCAGGAGGAACACCGGUGGCGAAGGCGGCUACCUGGACCGGUUCUGACGCUGAGGCGCGAAAGCGUGGGUAGCAAACAGG
rnacentral:rRNA from 1 species